GGGAGCUACCUUGGAGGCUGGAUGUCAAGGGGAGUUUAGGACCACAAAGACCCAGAGGUUUGGUGGCUGACUAUAGAAAUGGGAAAGGACUGCUGUAUAGAAGAGGGAGACUUAUUCUGUGUGGCUUCCAAGGAUGGAAUUCAAAACAAUACACAGAGGUUUCUGGGAGGCAGAUGUUAAUGUGUUUAAGGAAGAACCUCCUAGCAAUAAUCUGCCCAAAUAGAAUGCCAGUACUAAGGCAGCUCAUUCUAUUUGGGGCAGUAGUACUUAGUACUACCUUAGAGACUGAGCCCCUGAGUACUGGAAGAGUAGAGCACAGGCUGGGUGUCCUCUCCCAGGGACACCAUAUGCAGAACCCUGACUGGGUAGAAAGUUAGCUGUGAGUACCUCCAACUCUUUGAUAUUUCACUUCUGGACUAGGGGAGAAUUUUGUGAAAUGAGACCCUUAGGGCUUCAUUUCUUUUAGUUUUGAGGAAAAACAAAUUUUUCAUGGAACUAUGAGGUCUUUGCUUCUGAACCAGUAUGGCUUGGAGAAACUAUUAAGAGGUAAAAUGACCCUGGUGUUUCUGGAAUCCCCCAACAUUUCUCCUUGUAAGAGCAGAGCUCCAAGUUGCUUGAUUUACACUUAGCCCAGGGGAUUUAAACCAGGAAUUCCCAACUUUUUUAUGAGGCAGAGCCUUUAGAUCAUGGAAGAGGCAGGAAUGUUGGCAUGGAGUUUUCCUCACGGGGAAUCCUGGCACACCUUGGAGAGAGGGAGGGGGGUUGCAGCUCUGGGGGAUAUUAUCCAGGGAAGGCUCAGAUAUCCACCAACGGAAAUCAGUCCACUCUUUGAGCAUGCAAAAAUACUAGCUGAUGCUUUGCUGGGGAUUCCCAUAGAGAGAACUGAGAAUGCACUCAUUUUUAAAAUAGCCUCAUGGAGAAACUUUUUAAGUGGUUGGUGGGGGUGGCGAGGCACUGUUAUAUUGGUCACCAUGUGGGCAUAUAAUGUAGAAAACGUCCAUAAGCAAAGGGUUUCCAGGGAAAUUAACACUACAGCAUACCACGUUUACUCCUCCCUUAGUCCAAUCUACCCUUGGACACUCACUGAAAUGAUCUGUGAAAUAUGAAACCAUUUCUAAAUGUAUAUCAGUACUAGAAGCUCUGAAGAAUUUCUGCCAGUGAGCGUGCAGGUGGCAGCCCUCCUACCCUAGUCCAACAAUCACUCCUCUGGAAGACAGGAUUGUCAGGAGCAGAAUCACCCAAACAGCCCAACCUUGGAAGGCCAAGGUAUGAGGGUGAGGGCAGGCCAUCUGGAUCCUGCCAAUGCCUUAAGAAAGGACACAGUCAAGGCCACAAUAAGUGACAAACUCAGUCAGCUCUCACUACUGGCAUGGCAUGAAUGUCUGGAAAACACAGGGGAAAAGAGAAAACUCUUUGCCCCAAAAUAUUGAAUAGGGCCAUUGUCUCUGUUGAAGCCCAAAUUAACUCCCCAUGAUGCUACACGAAAGCAGAUCUUUCUCUGUAAAGAUGAUGAUGCAAGAAAUCGCUGGCCACAAGAAAGGAUUUCAUCAUAUGAGAAGAUUUUUUGAGGAAUUUCAACUAAUGCCUCUAUUCCUAAGAAAUGGGUAAAGAUAUUGAAUAAUCUAAUUUAUGUCUUCAAGACUGAAGCUGACACUGCAUCUAUGAAACAAGUAAGAAACAGCUACAAAGAGAUGACAGAAUAUGGUGACCAAUUUUAAAUCCAUAAUACACUAAUGAGCAGAAGAUUAGAUAUCACAGUAAAGUCAGUAAUUUUUUUUAAUGGGCUGGAAAAUUUCUCCCAGAACUCAGGACUGAAAAACAAAAAUAAUGAGAAAAAAAGGAAAAAAGGACCCGGUGAUCCAAUAUACAGAUAAUUCCAAAA